rnacentral:lncRNA from 1 species
GAAAGAGAAGGGAUGGAAGUGAAAUGUUACAAGCGUUUAUGAAGAAAGAAGUAAUAGACGUAUUCAUUAUCUUGAUUUUGGAGAUGGAUAUAUACGUGUGACAAAACUUAUCAAAUUGUAUACCUAAACAGUGCAUUUUGUGCUGACGAUAAUUCAUCAAGUAAAAUGAAGAUAUAGAAUCCUUGGACAUACCACUGUGGAGAUCUGGACAGAAAAGUGGGGAGGAGCUUGACUACAUAAUGUUCAAGAGAGAAAGAUAACCAUCAACCAAUUUUGUCCUAAGCAACUUGGAGUGCUUCCCCACCGUUCUGAGGGCUGCCAUCACACUUUCUCCAACAAGAUUUGAGUUCCAGCUUGGGGAAGAGGACCCCUUCUUUUGGAAAUCCUCCUUAGCUCUCAGAUUUUUUUAGAGUUCUAUUUUUUCUUGAGAGUUACACCUCUGUUAUAGCUAGUAAUUCUUUAUAUUAAACUUUCCCUGUUCA